GACGAACGCUGGCGGCGUGCUUAACACAUGCAAGUCGAACGCUGAAGCUCAGCUUUUGUUGGGUGGAUGAGUGGCGAGCGGGUGAGUAACACGUGAGUAACCUGCCCCCUUCUUUGGGAUAACGCCCGGAAACGGGUGCUAAUACUGGAUAUUCACUGGUCUUCGCAUGGGGGUUGGUGGAAAGGGUUUUUCUGGUGGGGGAUGGGCUCGCGGCCUAUCAGCUUGUUGGUGGGGUGAUGGCCUACCAAGGCUUUGACGGGUAGCCGGCCUGAGAGGGUGACCGGUCACAUUGGGACUGAGAUACGGCCCAGACUCCUACGGGAGGCAGCAGUGGGGAAGAUUGCGCAAUGGGCGCAAGCCUGAUGCAGCGGCGCCGCGUGAGGGAUGGAGGCCUUCGGGUUGUGAACCUCUUUCGCUCAUGGUCAAGCCGCAACAAUGGUUGUGGUGAGGGUAGUGGGUAAAGAAGCGCCGGCUAACUACGUG
rnacentral:rRNA from 1 species